rnacentral:rRNA from 1 species
UUACACAUGCAAGUCGAACGGCAGCACGGGUGCUUGCACCUGGUGGCGAGUGGCGAACGGGUGAGUAAUACAUCGGAACAUGUCCUGUAGUGGGGGAUAGCCCGGCGAAAGCCGGAUUAAUACCGCAUACGAUCUACGGAUGAAAGCGGGGGACCUUCGGGCCUCGCGCUAUAGGGUUGGCCGAUGGCUGAUUAGCUAGUUGGUGGGGUAAAGGCCUACCAAGGCGACGAUCAGUAGCUGGUCUGAGAGGACGACCAGCCACACUGGGACUGAGACACGGCCCAGACUCCUACGGGAGGCAGCAGUGGGGAAUUUUGGACAAUGGGCGAAAGCCUGAUCCAGCAAUGCCGCGUGUGUGAAGAAGGCCUUCGGGUUGUAAAGCACUUUUGUCCGGAAAGAAAUCCUUGGUUCUAAUAUAGCCGGGGGAUGACGGUACCGGAAGAAUAAGCACCGGCUAACUACGUGCCAGCAGCCGCGGUAAUACGUAGGGUGCGAGCGUUAAUCGGAAUUACUUGGGCGUAAAGCGUGCGCAGGCGGUUUGCUAAGACCGAUGUGAAAUCCCCGGGCUCAACCUGGGAACUGCAUUGGUGACUGGCAGGCUAGAGUAUGGCAGAGGGGGGUAGAAUUCCACGUGU